rnacentral:rRNA from 1 species
UACGGAGGGUGCGAGCGUUGUCCGGAAUCACUGGGCGUAAAGGGCGCGUAGGCGGGUCUUUAAGUCAGGGGUGAAAUCCUGGAGCUCAACUCCAGAACUGCCUUUGAUACUGAAGAUCUUGAGUUCGGGAGAGGUGAGUGGAACUGCGAGUGUAGAGGUGAAAUUCGUAGAUAUUCGCAAGAACACCAGUGGCGAAGGCGGCUCACUGGCCCGAUACUGACGCUGAUGCACGAAAGCGUGGGGAGCAAACAGG